AACGCACCUUGCACUCUUUGGUAUUCCGAAGAGUAUGCCUGUUUGAGUGUUAUGAAAUCUCUCAACCUAUCAUUUUUCAUUAGAACUUUGAUUAGGAUUGGAUUCUGAGCGUUGCUGACUAGUUUACUAGUGAAGCUCGUUUGAAAUAGAAUAGCAAAUGUCUAAUCUUUAAUCGGUUUGACUUGGCGUAAUAAGUAACAUUUCGCUAAGGAUUAUCCUUUGGAUAACCGAAUUUUGUAUUAAUGACUUGCUUCUAAAAUUCAUAAUUUUCUAAUUUGACCUCAAAUCAGGUAGGACUACCCGCUGAACUUAA
rnacentral:misc_RNA from 1 species